rnacentral:miRNA from 1 species
UGCAGGGAGACUGUUUGAAACU